UCUGCAAAGCUCUUCCCAGCCCUCAGGAUGAAUCAUCUUCCUGGAGUUUGCAUUUCAAAGAGAUGACGUUCUGGUCCCAGAGAAGCCAGGAACAAAAAUCCUCUGUGUCUUACAGGUGGAGAAGGAAGAGGGGAAGCAGAGCAAGGAAGCAGGGCUUGAAGAGAGUCACUCACUGUAGACACCAAAUCUGAAGGGUCCUGAGAGUCAGGAUCAACGGCGGAAUACUUUGGAGGCCUAAAUAAGGAUGAACACGUGGCAAAGAUAGAAAUGAAGAAUACCGUCACUUCGUUUUAUUACAUUGCGCUAUCAUGCAAUGGCAGUCCAAGGUUCCUCGGGCAUGGUGUCCCUUGAUGGGUCCUCCGGGAAAUAUUUAAUGCAACUCCAGGUGGUACACACAUGUAACUCCAGCAGCAUCAAGGCCAACCUUGGCUGCAUAUUGAAUUCAAAGCUAGCCGAUGCUAUAAGAGACCUUGUUUGCUUGGUUUUGGGGCAAAGUCUCAUGUAGGCCUGGGUAACCUUGAGCUUCUGAUGCCUCCAUCUCCCCAGUGCUGGGCUUACAGUGGGCUACGUUGGCUCUGUUGCUUUGACCCGACGGCAAGACAGAGCAUCAAGAUGGGACCAUGUGGAGAGCUAAACUACUUACCUUAUGUCCAGGGAGCCAAAGAGAAAGGAGAAAAGAAGCAGGGCCUGCCGUGCCUUCCGAGGUCAUGACUCCAGGGUCUUGGGGUACUCCUAGUCACCCGCCUCUUCAAAGUUCUACCACUUCCCAGUGGAGCCAUCCUGAGGACUGAGCCCGCAACGCAUGGACUUUUGAGAACAAUCACCAUCCAGACUCUAAGAAGGAUGUGGCUUAUCAUACUGCACUUUCUUCAGAACAUUCUACUGAGCAUGGCGAAAACUCACAGGGUCCCAAUGCUGACAGCAGUACAGUGUCUCUAUCAAAUGGAGUCAUGUGUAUGAAAGGCUGGGGUUCGGGGUAGGAUGCAUGGUCAGCCUGUGGAAGUCCCUGGAUCUAAUACUCAAGAACCCCCCGACUCCAAUACAUAUAUGGUUUACAUACAUAUGAGAGACUUAAACGUUGAAGAGCUAUUUAAGGGUUCAUUGUUACUCAUUUUCCCUGGAAACAAAUACUCUACAUGCAGUGUCAAAGUAUAGAGUAGCUACUUCCAAGUAAGCAAAUUCACAGAUUUAAAUCAACAGAAUUCAGUUCAAUGCGUUUUGGCAAUGUGGCUGUCUUUGUUCUAGCAUUAGAAUAUAAUGCUGAUCUUUCGGGCUGUUUUCAUGGAAGAUUAUCAGUCAUCCUCCGGCCAACUAUCUGUGCUGUCUGUGAGUACGUCUUAUAAAAUUUAGCUUAUCUAAGAGAAUGCAAAUCAUAUGAAGUAUUCCUUCUUAGGUCUACUAUGAAUUGAAGUAGGACAAUGCUGCAAAAUAAGAAUUUAUUUAUAUAAUGUA